rnacentral:rRNA from 1 species
GCUUCGGCCCCGGUACAGCGGCGCACGGGUGAGUAACACGUGGGUGACCUACCCUUCAGUGGCGGAUAACCCUCCGAAAGGAGGGCUAAUACGGCAUGAGACCACGAUACUGCGGUAUUGAGGUCAAAGCAGGCCUCUUGAUCAAAGCUUGCGCUGAAGGACGGGCCCGCGGCCCAUCAGGUAGUUGGUGAGGUAAUGGCCCACCAAGCCUAAGACGGGUAGCUGGUCUGAGAGGAUGAACAGCCACACUGGAACUGAGACACGGUCCAGACUCCUACGGGAGGCAGCAGUGGGGAAUCUUGCGCAAUGGGCGAAAGCCUGACGCAGCGACGCCGCGUGAGCGAUGAAGGCCCUCGGGUUGUAAAGCUCUGUGGGGAGAGACGAAUAAGGUGAAGUUAACACCUUCACUGAUGACGGUAUCUCUUUAGCAAGCACCGGCUAACUCUGUGCCAGCAGCCGCGGUAAGACAGAGGG